rnacentral:rRNA from 1 species
AAGACCUUUGCACUUUUGGAGCGGCCGAUGUCUGAUUAGCUAGUUGGUGGGGUAAUGGCCUACCAAAGCUUCGAUCAGUAGCUGGUCUGAGAGGACGGCCAGCCACACUGGGACUGAGACACGGCCCAGACUCCUACGGGAGGCAGCAGUGGGGAAUUUUGGACAAUGGGCGCAAGCCUGAUCCAGCCAUGCCGCGUGAGUGAAGAAGGCCUUCGGGUUGUAAAGCUCUUUCAGCCGGGAAGAAAAGGUUGCGAUUAAUAAUCGCAAUUUAUGACGGUACCGGAAGAAGAAGCACCGGCUAGCUACGUGCCAGCAGCCGCGGUAAUACGUAGGGUGCGAGCGUUAAUCGGAAUUACUGGGCGUAAAGGGUGCGCAGGCGGUUUUGUAAGUCAGAUGUGAAAUCCCCGGGCUUAACCUGGGAACU